rnacentral:rRNA from 1 species
CCUACGGGCGGCUGCAGUGGGGAAUAUUGGACAAUGGGGGGGAACCCUGAUCCAGCCAUGCCGCGUGUGUGAAGAAGGCCCUCGGGUUGUAAAGCACUUUCAGUGAGGAAGAACGCCUGGUGGUUAAUACCCAUCAGGAAAGACAUCACUCACAGAAGAAGCACCGGCUAACUCCGUGCCAGCAGCCGCGGUAAUACGGAGGGUGCGAGCGUUAAUCGGAAUUACUGGGCGUAAAGCGCGCGUAGGUGGCUUGAUAAGCCGGUUGUGAAAGCCCCGGGCUCAACCUGGGAACGGCAUCCGGAACUGUCAAGCUAGAGUGCAGGAGAGGAAGGUAGAAUUCCCGGUGUAGCGGUGAAAUGCGUAGAGAUCGGGAGGAAUACCAGUGGCGAAGGCGGCCUUCUGGACUGACACUGACACUGAGGUGCGAAAGCGUGGGUAGCAAACAGGAUUAGAUACCCUAGUAGUC